rnacentral:lncRNA from 1 species
UCUCUGUGUCACGCUCAUACAUCCAUUCCCACAGGUUUCAACGAACUUGCCACUUCUGUGUAUGUUUACCGUCAUUCAGAUGAAUGCCCAUUGGAUUUCUUGACCCUCGAGGAUCAAAAGAAGCACGAGGAAUGAAAUGCCAGACCACUGCUGACCAAUCUACAACCUUCAGGAAAGAUGCGGUUCAGCUUUUGAACUAAGAACAAAUCAAUGGAAAAAUAAUGCUGUAUCAAAUUUCAGUGUGUAAGAGCAGAAGCUAGGGGUGGAGGAAGAAAAGGAGGAGAAGGAAGAAGAAGAAAAUGAAGACGGUGAAGGAGAAGAAAGAAAAGAAGAGGAGGAGGAGAAGACAACAAAAUCAUGUGUUGAGCAUUGUCUAAAUUCACAAAUUAUCCUGCCUUUGACAAAGGCUGGCUCUGGACAAGUCCUUAUUUCUCAAGUGGGCACCUUUGUCUCCAUGAGAUGGUGGUGUAUGCUUUGCUCAGUCUAAAUUUUGUGAGGGCUCUGCCGGCAUCCAAGGUGAGCAUAAGUUAGGGCAAUGACUUGAGAUUUCCGGGUACUUACUAGAUGAACAUUCCUGAAAGUCUCUCAUAUCGGUGUCCUUAGUUGUGAGGGAGGUUGAGAAAAAUUAAUUGAAUUUAGGGCUAAUCAACUUUGUAUUGCCUGCUUUUAGACCGACAUUCCCUAAAUAAUUAGGAUACCUGUUCACAGAGCUGAGUAAGGAUCUGACCCAAAGUUUAAGGUCAUGAGGGAGACGAGUAACAGAUGAACAUCAAACUUUAUUCUGCAUCUAGUUAUCCACCAGGCAUUGGUAGCCACAUGCGAUGAGUCACUGUUGUUUUUGUUUUGUUUUGUUGUUUGUAGCAAAAAUAAAUUUUAAUCCCCGACUGCCUUAGAAGAAAUUUCAGCUCAAGCUUCUAAGGAGGAACAGGUAAGAGAGAGGCUCAGGAGUUUGUCCUCUGUCCCUAUAGUGGUCUCUGCUUGUGUCAGUGCUCCCUGCUUCUCAGGCGUUGGGAGUGGUGAGAUGGCGUAGGCUGUCCCUGCUUUGGAACCUCAGUGUGUCUUGUGGUAAACUUCUACUACUUCUGCCUGCUGCAGGCAUGGGCAAUGUCAAAAUCGAAGGAGUGAUAUUCAAAGCCAAGUGCAGUUUGACCUGAGCACUUCCUUUGAAAGCUGAUCACAUGGUGUAUGAACUACUGGCUCACCACAGUGGGCGCCCCGCCAUUUUUGGGUAUUCCCUUUUCUCCCUGUCUCCUCUGAGAAACUUUUCCCUUCACAUUUAGUUUUAAAAGUUCAUUUCUCUCUUUAAGCGGCAGCUCAAAUACCACAGUCUUCAAGUUAUUUCUGUAUUGAUUUUUCCC